rnacentral:rRNA from 1 species
ACUCAAAUGAAUUGACGGGGGCCCGCACAAGCGGAGGAGCAUGUGGUUUAAUUCGAUGAUACGCGAGGAACCUUACCCGGGCUUGAAUUGCAGUGGAAUAACAAUGAAAGUUGUUAGUCUUCGGACCACUGUGAAGGUGCUGCAUGGUUGUCGUCAGCUCGUGCCGUGAGGUGUUAGGUUAAGUCCUGCAACGAGCGCAACCCUUACACUUAGUUGCCAGCAUGUAAUGAUGGGGACUCUAUGUGAACUGCCUACGCAAGUAGUGAGGAAGGUGGGGAUGACGUCAAAUCAGCACGGCCCUUAUGUUCGGGGCUACACACGUGCUACAAUGGUCGGUACAGAGGGCAGCUACCACGCGAGUGGAUGCGAAUCUCAAAAGCCGAUCUCAGUUCGGAUCGGAGUCUGUAACUCGACUCCGUGAAGUUGGAUUCGCUAGUAAUCGCACAUCAGCCAUGGUGCGGUGAAUACGUUCCCGGGCCUUGCACACACCGCCCGU